AAGAAAGACAUAGAGGCUAUGAGGCUGGCUUGAAACCGGUUUUAGGGGGUUCGACUCCUCCCUUUCUUA
rnacentral:tRNA from 1 species